AUUGUCGCGAACAGCAGCGACACCGCAUAUUCCUAAGCAGCCUUCAUUGAGUGUAGUUCCUCAGUUCUUCAUGGAACCUAAUUAACACGGACCGCGUAUAUAAGAGUCGCUCGAAACGCUUUGUGUCACUCGAAGUCAACGCUUGGCUUAGACAAGAGCAUGGAUCGCCCAGUCCAAUAACAGGUGAAAGGUAGACGCGCGGCUCAGAGGAGGAGGCUCCGAUGCAGAGGCGCAGGUCCAAGAGUGGCUUGCCUCGACCGUCAAGCUGCGCCCGAUCAGACGCUGCCGUGUCACCCAGCCAAGGAGAACAGCUGGUUUGUGGCGGCUUCGUGCUGCUAGUAAGACUCCGAUUAACAUAGUUACGCGUCGACGCCGUCUAUGAGAGCUCAAGGGACUUCGGGGUCGGAGUGACCGGGGUGAACGAGGCAUGCAGAUACUCGAAGUGCUUUUCAGCACGUGAGAUAUUGAAUAAAUGAGUUGAAACGCGUUGAAA